AUUCAUGGGUGCAGUUUCUCCCAUACUGUUCUCCUGGUAGUGAAUAAGUCUCACGAGAUCUGAUGGUUUUAUAAGGGGAAACCCUUUUCGCUUGGUCCUCAUUCUCUCUUGUCUGCUGCCAUGUAAGACAUGCCUUUUGCUUUCUGCCAUGAUUAUGAGGCCUCUCCAGCCACGUGGAACCGUGAGUACAUUAAACCUCUUUUUCUUCAUGAUUUACCCAGUCUCAGGUAUGUCUUUAUCAGCCGUGUGAGAACAGACUAAUACAACAGUAUAAAGCCAAUGUGGUAAAUGUCUCAAGAAAGAGCCAUUGAAAAUCUACAGGAUCCAGAAGAAGGAGAAGUUGCUCUGGCAGGGAGUUGGCAAUAAGGGUGACCAGGGGACAGCUUCAUGGAAGACUGGACAGUGGAAGUCGGCCAGGAAGGCUUCUGCAGGCAGAGCUGGUAGAGCAAGUGUGUGAAGGCUACAGAGAAACACAGAGAGAGGCAGGAAGACCAUUCAUUGCAAAGAACUGCUGAUUUGCUCACUGGCAUUAGAGUGUGCUGCUGUGACUGGUCUUGGCUGAGAAGAGCAGUGAAUUUUGUGAAGUGACAACCUACGGUUUGUAAGUCUAGAGCCAGGGAACACGAGUCUUAAAACAAAGAGGGAGGUGCGGGUGCAGACUGGGUUCUAAACCCCAGAGUUCAUAUUCUGCUUCUCUUCUCUUCAUUUCCUAACUGCUCUGGGCACAAUUUUAAACACUCCCGACACCUAAUGUCUCUGCCUAUAAAACAGUAGCAACAUCAAUGCCUACUCCAGAGAAAAUUCCCAGCAUGGUGUCUGGCAUGGAGGGUUCAAUAAAAG
rnacentral:lncRNA from 10 species